rnacentral:rRNA from 1 species
UACGUAGGGCGCAAGCGUUGUCCGGAAUUAUUGGGCGUAAAGAGCUCGUAGGCGGCCUGUCGCGUCUGCUGUGAAAUCCCGGGGCUCAACCCCGGGCCUGCAGUGGAUACGGGCUGGCUGGAGGCAGGCAGGGGAGAACGGAAUUCCUGGUGUAGCGGUGAAAUGCGCAGAUAUCAGGAGGAACACCGGUGGCGAAGGCGGUUCUCUGGGCAUGUCCUGACGCUGAGGAGCGAAAGUGUGGGGAGCGAACAGG